GAGUUUCUCCAUAGGCAGUUGAUUUCAAUUUCAAUAUAAAUUUAGCUUUUAACCCUUGAAAAUAAAUUGUAGUAUUGAAUGUAUGAAAUUAACACAUCCAAUAAACAUGGUAGUGACAAGUACUUCUCACGAAUGGCGUCUCAUCACAGAUCUUAGAUAAAAACUACAGCUUUGGAAACAAGACAACGUGUGUACUGGAUAAAUUAACACAUCCAAUAAACAUGGUAGUGACAAGUACUUCUCACGAAUGGCGUCUCAUCACAGAUCUUAGAUAAAAACUACAGCUUUGGAAACAAGACAACGUGUGUACUGGAUGUAGUGUUUCUUAGAGUUUCUCCAUAGGCAGUUGAUUUCAAUUUC